rnacentral:rRNA from 1 species
CCCUUAGAUGUUCUGGGCCGCACGCGCGCUACACUGAACAGUUCAACAAGUCUUAACCUUGGCCGAUAGGUCUGGGUAAUCUUUGAACGCUGUUCGUGAUUGGGAUAGACCUUUGCAAUUAUGGGUCUUCAACGAGGAAUUCCUAGUAAACGCAAGUCAUCAGCUUGCAUUGAUUACGUCCCUGCCCUUUGUACACACCGCCCGUCGCACCUACCGAUUGAAUGGUCCGGUGAAAUCUCCGGACUGGCGUGAGUCGGAGCAAUCUGACAAACGCCGGAAAGUUGAUUAAACCUUACCAUUUAGAGGAAGGUGAAGUCGUAACA